UUUUCGCGCCGCCGGCUCCCUCCGCCCGGCGCCCGUAAAACGCCCAGAAACCUGGAACGGUGGAGAAAAACAGCUCUUCUCCUCCAAAGGGUGUAGUCCGUGGAUUGCAGUACACAAAAUAAGGAAAAUGAGUAAGUUCUCUACGUACGAACCAAGUUGCGAACUUUCAAAGAGGCGAACGUGCGUUCCAUCAACGUCAGAUGUGAGUAAAAUUGCAGCUCGCCCUCCGUCUCCUAUUGCUGAGGAUCCUUCAGCUCUACCAUCUCCCACCUCCUCGCCCUCCUCCAGUCAGUAGCUCUUCUUGCCUGUUCACUCGAUGCCAGCCCCUGGAUGCCAGCUGUUGUACUGCACUACUGUACUUUUCAAGACUGGCUGUUGCUGUCCGUUUCCCAGUCCUGCUGUUUAGCCACGUGGGGUUCUUCUUCGUGCCAGUUACGUGGGCGCAGAGGCUGGACUCUUCCUCCAAGGUCAUGAGCAGAUACUGAAACCCCUACCAGGUGGGAGAAGUUAACUACAUGAUGACCAGACUGUAGCCAUGACGUAAGCUGCCACAAUUCCAAGAAUUGGCCUCAAGGAAAUGGGAACAAACCGACCCUGGAACUGAAGAUUAACUGUACUUAAAACAAUCAAGAUGACGCUGGUCAGACCACCGAUGACCAAUUUCAAGAUGACCGUCAGAGCUGACUGUGUUGUUUCUGCAUGUAGCCCUCUCCCUCCGUUUAUGAAAGCUCUUGCCCUCUGAUGGUCAUUUGUGGGGGGAGUCGGCCUUUGGACAGGAGUCCGCCCCACCCCCAUUGCUGACAUCCAAAAUAAAGCACACUUUCCUUUC